GGACUUCUAGGGGAGAAAUCCAGGCUUUGCUUAUGUUUGGAGAGGGGGAAAGAUUCCAUGAAGGGAAUAUGAGGGGUUAAAAUAUGCCUACCCAAUGAUGGAAGACUGCGUCUGCCCCACUGAGAUCUCUACCUACUUGCUCACUGGAUUCCUCUCGGGCCCUUCUGGGAUUUGCUGAGCCCUUUAUUGUGGGCACCUGUGCUGGGACCUUUCCAUGAGACUGAGUUCGUAGUUCUACUUCUUCAGAGUUAAGUGCUGCAGCUUCCUCCCAGAAGCCGUUCAGCAUGGGCUAGAUAAAGUCAGCCCUCGAGGUGAUAAUAAGCAUACAGCUGUGCAUACCAAGUUGGUUUUUCAUCCUACGGCUGGAGAGAUAAAACAUCUUUUUUAAAUUUGGAGGAGAGGGGUAGUUUUAGCAAAUAUUUCCAAAGAUGCAAAGUUGUUCAGUUUCUAUAACAGAGGCUUCCAUUUUCCUUAACC